AUUGAACGCUGGCGGCAUGCUUUACACAUGCAAGUCGAACGGCAGCGCGGGCUUCGGCCUGGCGGCGAGUGGCGAACGGGUGAGUAAUACAUCGGAACGUGCCCAGUAGUGGGGGAUAGCUCGGCGAAAGCCGGAUUAAUACCGCAUACGACCUGAGGGUGAAAGCGGGGGAUCUUCGGACCUCGCGCUAUUGGAGCGUCCGAUGGCAGAUUAGCUAGUUGGUGGGGUAAAGGCCUACCAAGGCGACGAUCGGUAGCUGGUCUGAGAGGACGACCAGCCACACUGGGACUGAGACACGGCCCAGACUCCUACGGGAGGCAGCAGUGGGGAAUUUUGGACAAUGGGCGAAAGCCUGAUCCAGCAAUGCCGCGUGUGUGAUGAAGGCCUUCGGGUUGUAAAGCACUUUUGGCGGGAAAGAAAAGGACUGUGCCAAUACCACGGUUCGAUGACGGUACCCGCAGAAUAAGCACCGGCUAACUACGUG
rnacentral:rRNA from 1 species